CCGCACCCCCGGGGCCGCCCCCGAGCCGCGGCCCAAUAAACGCCGCCGCAUUUGAACGCGGCGCCUCCCCCGGCCCCGUUCCGCAACGCUCCGCUCCGCCGCGCCCGGAGCCACCGGGACCGGCAGCCGCGCCGGGUGAGCGUGGCAGGCUAUGGGAUGGAUGAAGCUGAGCAGGACCAGUAUGAAGCUCGCCUCAAGGAGCUCUUCGACAGCUUCGACAGCACGGGCACGGGGUCUCUGGGGCAGGAGGAGCUCACCGACCUUUGCCACAUGCUGCACCUGGAGGAGGUGGCCCCGGCGCUGCAGCAGACCCUCCUGCAAGGCAACCUCCUAGGCAGGGUCCACUUUGAUCAAUUUAAAGAAGCACUCAUCCUCAUCUUAUCCAGAACCCUGUCAAAUGAAGAGCACUUCCAAGAGCCAGACUCCUCCCCAGAAGCGCAGCCCAAGUACAUCAAAGGCGGCAAACGCUAUGGCCGGCGGUCCCUGCCCGAGUUCCAGGAGUCCGUGGAGGACUUUGCCGAGGUGACCGUCAUCGAGCCGCUGGGCGAGGAAGCGUGUCCCCAACACAUCACCGCCGACGGCUGCGAGGAGCACUGGAAGACGCGAGACAGCGAGGAGUACGAGGCCGAGGGGCAGCUGCGCUUUUGGAACCCAGACGACCUGAACGCCUCCCCUGGAACAUCGCUGCCCACCCCGGACUGGAUAGAGGAGAAACUGCAGGAGGUCUGCGAGCACCUGGGCAUCACCAGAGACGGGCACCUGAACCGCAAAAAGCUCAUCUCCAUCUGUGAGCAGUACGGGCUCCAAACGGUGGCCGGGGAGGUACUUGAAGAGGUGCUACAUAACCUGGGGCAAGAUGGCACCAUGAGCGUAGAGGAGUUCUUCUACGGCUUGUUUAAAAAUGGAAAGUCACUGACACCUUCGGCGUCCACCCCGUACAGGCAGCUGAAACGACACCUCUCCAUGCAGUCCUUCGACGAGAGCGGCAGGCGCACGACCACCCCCUCGGCCAUGCCCAGCACCCUCGGCUUCUGCCUCUUCUCCAGCCUGGACGACGGGAUGGGAUACGGCUGCGUGGAGGGUGUCCUGGACUGCUGGCACCAGGAGGGCAUCGAGAACAGCCAGGAGAUCCUCAAGGCUUUGGAUUUCAGCUUGGACGGGAAGGUGAACUUGUCAGAGCUGACGCUGGCGCUAGAAAACGAGCUCUUAAUAACCAAGAACGGAGUCCACCAGGCAGCCCUGGCGAGCUUCAAAACGGAGAUCAGACACUUGCUGGAGCGGGUUGACCAAGUGGCCAGAGAGAAAGAGAAGCUGCGGUCGGACUUGGAAAAAGCCGAAAAGCUGAAAUCCCUGAUGGCCUCGGAAGUGGACGAUCACCACGCCGCGAUCGAGCGCCGGAACGAGUACAACCUCAGGAAGCUGGACGAGGAGUACAAGGAACGAAUUGCAGCUUUAAAGAACGAGCUCCGGAGGGAGCGGGAGCAGAUCCUGCAGCAGGCUAAUAAACAGCGGCUGGAGCUGGAGCAGGAGAUAGAAAAGCUGAAAACGGAUGAGAACUACACCCGGGACCGCCUGGCCCUUUCCCUGAAGGAAAACAGCCGCCUGGAGAGCGAGCUAUUGGAGACAGGAGAAAAACUGGCCGAGUGUGAAAGUUUGGCAAGCAAACUGCAGAGGAACUUGGAAAACGUCCUGGCUGAGAAGUUCGGUGACCUGGACCCCAGCAGCGCGGAGUUCUUCCUGCAGGAGGAGAGGCUGGCGCAGAUGAGAAGCGAGUACGAGCGGCAAUGCAGAGAGCUGCAGGACCAGAUAGACGAGCUGCACUCGGAGCUGGAGGAGUCCCGUGCCCAAGGCAAAGCGCUCAGACCCCCGCUGAAAAGUUCACUGUCGGAAGAGUUCGACAUCGAUUUCAAAAUUCAUGGCAAUAGCGGUAUUGAACCUGACCAAGGACUUGGUUCAGAAGACUGCAACCCAUUAAAUAUGAGCAUUGAGGCUGAAAUGGCUAUUGAACAACUGAAGGAGCAACAUCACAGGGAUCUACAUGACCUCAAACAGGAGCUUGAAGACACAGUGAGCCAUUACGAGAAGCAGCUAAAUGAGAUGAAAACCCACUGUGAAAAGGAGCAGGAGGAUCUGAGGCAGAAGUACGCUGGGGAGAUGCACGUCAUGGAAAAGCAAAUAGCUGCCCUUACAAAUCAAAUUGCAGAGCUGCAAGGAGAGGCAGCACUGCUCAGGGAACAGCAAGAAAAGCUUGGUUGUGAACACAACGAUGAGAAAAACAAACUAAAACUGAGUUUCGCUGAGGAAAAAGCCAAUUUGCAAGAACUACUGAGGCAGGAGCACGAAGAAGACGUCAGAGCCAGGCUGGAGGAGGUGAACGAGAAGUUCAGUCGAGAGCGGGAAGAACUGAUUCAAAACGGUGUCUGGGUGGAAGAGAAGAUGAGGGGUUUGGUGCAGACGCUGCAGGAAGAGAAGGGAGAGCUGGAACGUGGCUUUCGCGAGCAGCUGGAGAGGAUGGCGGAGCUCCAUGCCCUGGAGAAGGAGAAGCUCCAACAGGAGCUGCUGAGGAAGCAUCAGCAGGACCUGGAGGAGGAAAGGAAAAAAAUGGCAAGUGACUAUAACAGAAGAGCGUCUCAUGCAGAAACUCAGUUUUCUGUCGACACACAAACACUUGUGACUAAAUAUGAAGAAAGGAUCCAAAACCUAGAAGGACGUCACCAGCGAGAGCUGCGUGAACUUGCCGAACAGCAAAGAGAGGAGAAGUCGCGGUGGGAGUUUGAGAAGGAUGAGGUUGCUGAAGCCCACGAGCGACUGAAGGCGAGUCUGGCGAGUGAAAAAGCUGUUUCAACUGCCCUGAGCCUGGAGAAAGAUCUCCUGGAGAAGAACUUCAAGGAAGAAGUGAACAAGCUCGUGUGCGACAGAGAGCAGCUUCAGAAGGAGCUGCAAGACCUGAGGAACGCUGCUGAGGAGCAAGAGAAAAAGCUGAACGAUAAAAUAACGCAGCUUCAAAACGACCACGAAAAAGAGCUGAAGGACAAAGACGAGCGUAUAUCCGUGGUGGAGGAAAAUGGGAAGCUGGUUAGGCAAAAGCUGGAGAGACUCAACAGUGAAUACAAGCAAGAGAAAGAAGACCUCAAUUCCAAACUUGUUGCUUUGGAGAGUUUAAACCAAGACAUUUGUGUAAGAGCAGAAACUGAAAAGGCCGAGCUGAGUCUGGAAAUCUCAGACCUUCAAGGGAAAAUACACAAAUUGCAGUGGGAGACCCGUAGCUUUUCUGCACUACAAAAUCAUUAUAGGCUCCUGGAAGAUGAGUAUGCAAAAGCAAAGAGCAAAAUUGCUGCUUUCCCUGGUGUGGCGCCUCUGGGAGAUGACGCGGAUGUCUUCUUAAACCUGCAGAAAGUGCACGAGCGAGCGGUGAAGGAAAAUGUCCGGAUGGCGGCCGAGAUCCUGAGGCUGCAGCACAGGCUGCGGGUGAUGGAGCGGGAGCCCCUGCGACGCCCCAGCUCCAGCUCAGAACCAUCUCAGCCGCCGGAUGACACAGAUCCCAUUUUUGAAGGGUCACCCAGCGAUUGUAAAGAUGCAGAGGAAGGAACAGAUUCAAAUGUCCUUCUCCUUUUGGAGGCUGAUGCCACAGACCUGGAAGAAAUGAGUGAGAUUGAUUCAGAUUUGGAGAAACCAUUUGUUCAAGCCCAGGCAGGUGGCCGUGCCCUUGAGGUACAGAUGCAAGGAAGGAAAGCGGCGCCGGGAGCCGAUGGCCAUCAGGGUCGUGAUGAAAAUCUAGAGCUGAUUUCUUGGGUGCCUCUGCAAGAAAAGAAAGAUCUCGAGAAAACUCUUGAGCGAGGUCCCAGACCAAAAACACUACAUAAGGAUGUGAAACAGCAGAAGGUUCACCUGCUAAAUCACAGAAUAGCUCCCAAAAAUAAAGGGUUGGUUUCUGAUGCGCUGAAGCUGCAGGUUGAGCUUGAAAAGGCUGAAGAACUGAGUGAAGCCUCGGUCCAGCUUGAUCGCACUCCUGGGUUGGCAAAUGGUGACCUGAAAAGCGUAAUAGCUCAGCUUUGGACAAGGGUGAAAGAGUUAGAAGGCAGAUCAACAGCACAGGCUCAACUUCUGUUGCUACAUGAAGAAAUUCAGGAAGAAAAUGAGGAUCUGAAAUCUCAAAUGAUAGAGUUAGUUGAAAAAAAUAGAGUGCUAGAAGACAACCUGCAUAAGCUGAGCAGCCUUCAUUGCCAACUAGAAGAAAGUAAACUGGAAAGUAUUAAGCUCAGAGAGGAAAACACAGAGGUCCUCCAAGAAGAUGUCCAAGAUAGCCAAGGGAACAUCACUGCACACAAUGACAAGUUAAGGCUGCAAUGCCAGCUGGGGAAGCUGGAAGAACACGGAGCCAUGUCUACAGGUCAGCAAGGCAAACGUGCCCAAAGCGACAGCGCGGUGACAGAAACGUCGUCGGAAAAGAGGGACCUGCUGGAACCCAACAGAAAGCUGAAGGAGAAAAUAGCUGCUGGGGUCAUCCCCAAGGAGGAGAGGAACACCGUGCCGCACGGCUUGCAAAGCACGUGCGCUGAGCUGCAGCAAAAAGUUGAUCUUUUGAGGUGUGAAGCUGAGAAGCUCAGGGAAGAAAAUACUGUUCUGAAAAAUGAAGUGACUUUGUUAAAUGAGGAAGGCAAUGCCUCCAGCCUGAAGCUGAGGGAGCUGAAUGGAUCCCGAGAAGAAAUGCGGCAAAAGAUAGAGGCUGUGAGAAAGGAGAAGGUGGCUGUACAGAAGAUGGUUGACAACCUGAAAAAGCAGGUGGCAGAUCUGAAGACCAGGAACCAGCAGCUGGACUCUGAAAAUACAGAACUUAGCCAGAGGAACUCCAAAAAUCAAGCAGAUGUGCAGGAUCUGAAUCAACAGCUGGCAAGGGUGCUCAAGCAGAAGGAAAGGGAAGCGGGAAAGUGUACGCUGGAAGAAUGGGAAAAGGAGAGACUGGUACUCCAAGAGGAACUGGAGAACUCCAAAGUGAAGUUAUCAACUAUGGUGUCUUCCUUGGAGAUGGAGCUGUCGAAAAUGAAGGUUCAGGCUCAUGUAUUGGAGCAGGAGAACCACAUGCUCAAGCAGGAACUCGAGAAGACAAAGCAGCUGCCCAGAUGUCCCGACCUCUCGGACCUUCACAAUGAAGUUUCGAGCUUAAUGACUAAAAAUGAAAAGCUGCAGAAAGAGAAAGACGCCCUGAGUGAGGAAUUAAACAGAUGUAUUGAUAAGGUAGCUCAAGUAAGCUGCUUAGAGAACGCAAUCGGCAGCUUGAAGCAGGAACAGAAGACCUGGGAACAGCAGAGUCAGACCCUGACAACACAGCUCGCCGUGUCACAAGAAAAGGUUCAGAGUCUUGACGAAACGCUGCAAAAUACCAACCUUCAAAUGUCCCGACUCCAAUCGGACUUACGGGCGAGCCAACAGGAGAAGGAAGCUCUGAAACAAGAAGUGAUGUCUUUGCACAAGCAACUGCAGAAUGCCAAUGAAAAGAAUCGGGUUCUAGAAGGGGCUGUGCCUUCCUCAGGGCUGCAGGACCACCAGGAGCAGCUGAUGGACCAGGAGCAGCAGCUGCUCCGGCAGGAGAACGAGAGGCUGCAGAGAGAGGUCCAGAGCGCUAAGACGGACCUAACGCACUCCAGGGAGAAGAUCCGACAGCUGGAAUCCACAAUCCUUUCCCUAAAGCACCAAAAGCAUCAAAGCCAGUCAGGUAUCGUCAAAGCCAUAGAGCAAGAGAAGUUAAGCUUGAAGAGAGAGUGCGAACAGCUGCAGAAGGAGUUGUCAUCUGCAAACAGAAAGAUCAGUCAGAUGAAUUCUCUUGAACGUGAACUGGAAACCAGCUCAGAAAAUGAAGGGCUAAGAAAAAAGCAAGUCAAACUGGACGAUCAGUUAAUGGAGAGCUCAGUGGUUGGAACUAGCAGAGAAGGGUGCAGUUCUCUUUCUGAAAUAGUGUGCGAAGAUGCUCCAGGCCAGCGGCAGCGCGAUGCUUAGCCAGCCAUCCCGGGAGCUCCAGCAAGGCUGUGCCGUGGUGCCCAAGGACCAGCUCCUGCAGCUCCAACACCAGCUCCUCCAAGCAGAGAGGAGAAGCCAACGUCUUCAGGAAGAACUCGAGAGCAGACCCUCUGCAACGAACAUGCAACAGGGGGGUCACGAGCAGCUUCUAAAAAUGAUGGAAGAGCGUAUGAUGGAUGUUGAACAGAAACUGAGGCUUGUGAAGAGGCUUCUCCAAGAUAAAGUGAAUCAGCUGAAAGAACAACUUUCCAAGAACACCAAAGCGGAUGCGAUGGUCAAGGAUCUCUAUGUUGAGAACGCACAACUGCUGAAGGCUCUGGAGAUGACAGAACAGCGGCAGAAAACGGCUGAAAGGAAAAACUAUUUACUAGAAGAAAAAAUCGCCAACCUCAAUAGAAUAGUCAAGAAUCUGGCAUCCCCAUCAUUUCAUUCAACAUCUGAGAUAAGGUCGUAGCAAAGCCAGUAAGUCUGCCACAGUCCCAUGCACUUUACUGGAAUGUUCAUAUUUCAGCUUUUCACUGUGUUGCCUUUUUGUAUGGAUGAAUUGUAGUUAACAGAGAGGACAGAGCUAAAUCCCAAACCGCACACUGCCAAAAGAGGAUUUUUGUUUAUUCCCAAACCGCUUUCCUGCUAAGUUUUGCCUAAAAGUAAUCUUCAUUGUGUAAAAAAACCAGACAUAUGUUUUUCUAGGUUAACUUAUUUUGAUACUUUGGUUUUAAUUUGAAAUGUAAAUUCUGAAUUUACUGUACUGAAUCGAUUAUUCCUACCCAGACUGAAGCCAAGGUCUAAUGCAGACUUAGGUUACUGAAUCCGAAACUUGAAAAUAGUUUUGGCUUUCUAGAAUACUUCAUGGUCCAAACUUAGUAAUGUUGAUAGGUGAGUCCGCAACACUGUCAGGAAAGUCUUGCUUUCCAUAGCAAUUACCCUGAUGUGGCGUGUCCUGCAAACUGACUCUGGUUUCUGUAAAGCAAUAUGUUCAAUCUUAUGGGUUAUUCUUCAUGGCUGUUUCUCUGCAGAGCUCAGAAACAAAACCGCCUAAAAAUAUGUAACUAGACUACUGCCUCCAACUAAGCAUAACAGCUUAUAGAAAUUGUAGAGGCCUUAAUUUUUUUGUGUGUGGAAAUAAGUGAUACUAAACAAAGGGAAGAGUCACUAAACAGAAGAUGUGAGGUUUGUUUAUAUAAGUUUUAAACUCAGUAAAGGAGUGGAGGAUGUUUAUUAAACAGCUGGUAGAAGAAUGAAAAGGGGGACUCAGCGGUUUCUUCCGUGGAAUCCUGUCAUUAGGCCUCACAAACAGGGAUCUUUGCAAUUAAUGCAGAGUUCAUUUAGACCCAAGUGAUCAAGGCCUGUCUUUUGUAGUAGGUCCUGGUACAGAAUCUACGUUUGUCAUUAAUUGUGGAGAAACUUAUUCAGUGUGAAUAUGAUGAACUCAGGGAAUAGCAGCUUAAAUUAGCUUCCUCCAACGUUAUAAAUGUGGGUAUUCAUGUCAAUAAUAAUUGUAUAAACAUGCGUUAGGAAAACCAGGAUGAACCAAAUUGUAUUUGGAGGAGUUUUACCUUCGUACUCCUCCCCCGACACGCUGAAGUGCUGUAGCCGUGAAGGUGGAAGAGUGUUGAUGUUUGUAAUGAUGGGUGAUGCCUCCCAUUCCAUCCAUCGGUGAGCCUGGGGAAAUUCAGGGUUUCUGGGAACCCUUCCAAACCGAGACGGGUCCGACACCGAAGCAGCUGAGCAAGAGCUUGCACAUUCAAACGCUUGUCUACUACUGCAAAGAGUCGAAAUGCCCCAAGAAUGCCUUGCCCCUAUCCCACCGGUCAGACACUUCUAAAGAAGGUAAAUCCAACUGGUGCAAGGGGCCACGCUGGCAAUACUUGAAACCGGACCUCUUUAAAUAUGCACAAACCAGAAGCAGAGGGCGAGAUGUUUUGUCUCGGAGACCUCUCACAAGGUGAUGAUUCUGACAGCACUUGCAAUGAGCCAAAAAGUCCCCCAGAAACCGGGAUAACACAUUUACGAGCUGUGGAGCAACCUCUGGAAAAUGGCUUUUGCUUUUUCAUGUGGCUGUAGGGGAUGCUCUCUAUGUCCACAUGGUUCCUCGGCAGUUUUGGAGGGUUGAGGGACCAAACUACCCAUAUGAUGACUUCUCCUGCUCCUCCUUUGCUUUACACAGGCAACAGAGUAGAAAUGGAAAUACAACCAUGGAAGAACACCUUGGAGUAGCACAAAGUCCUCAUAAAUAAUUUCACUUCUCUGCAAUUCUAAAUGCCUCUACUGGCUAUUUCUCCAGGUAAUCCCAAAUUAGGGAUCUAUAUAUCCCAUUUUUCACGGGGUGCAAAAACUUUUCCACAAAUUUUGAGAUGUGUGAGAUUGACAAAUUGCAUUGACAUGAAUUGGAGCUUUCUUUUAAAAAUUUGAAGUAGGGAAAUUGUCCAUCUUUUCAAUGUUACACAAGUGGUAGCACUUACAAUAAAGGUCUGGUGUGGGUACCAGGGCUGCACAUGAGCAAUAUGGGAGUUGAGCACGGCAACUCAAAAUACUUCCAGGAAACCGUGUAAAUGAGGUUCAGAUGAUCAGAAUCAUAUCUGGAAAAACAUUAUCAGCUGGCAUGUUUUAACACUACUUCAUAUCUUGACUUAGAUUUAUGUCUAAUGCUCAGUAUGUGACCAAAGUCUGAACACUGAGCAGGGGGGAUGAGUACUUCACUUAAACUAUUGUGGAAUUAAUUUCACAUUAGUCAUUUUAAAGGCUGGACUACUUAACUAAUUCCUUUAGUCUCCUGGUACUAACCAGGCUUUUAGAAACCAAACACACAGACCUUUCUAGAGCACCGUACCAAAAAGGGAGCCCAGAUGCUGGAAUAGAAGGGAGAAACAGAGAAAAGGGAUUUUGAUUUCUCCCUUUUUCACCCCAUCCUACCUUGCUGUACUUUUCUUCCACUUCAAAAAACUAACCUGACCACAGAAGAGAGCAGGAGGCGAAUCAGGAAAAUUUCACUGGAACGCUUGUGUGAAUUAAUUCUCAGAAGUGCCUUUUGUAAUUGCGUAUUCUAGAGCCGUUCCGUACCGUACUGUCUUUUUGCUGCUGCAGGAGAAUUCAGGACAAUCCCUUCCCAAAAGGAGGGAACCCAGAGAACGGUGGUGCUGCUCACAAAAGAGCAUCGUGUUGCUUACCGGGUCGUUGUGUCUGCUCAGAAGAGAAGCAGCUAAUUUUACAAAGUCCAGGCUACUGAAAAUAAGCAUAGAAAUAUCUAAGUUAUUAAGCAUUAGCGGUCUUUUGUGUGUGAAUGUGUCUCCUAUGCAGUAUAGGCAUUAUAAAGAUACCAAAGUAUUUAAUGCUGUUGUACCAGUCAAAAGUCACUGAAUCUCUAGGCUUCACUCAUACAACAGGUCUUGUCAAUUAAGGUGUUAACUACUUUAUUACCAGGAGGUGUUUUAAACUCUUGCUUUAUGAAUCACUGUGAAAAUAAAGGCACAUAGCAAUCCAGGGUUAGGAGGUUUGGAGGAUGGAACACCCCAGGUUAAAUUCACGUGUACUAAAUUCACACAGCUGAAGUGCUACUUGUCCAUUUAUCAUUAUUUAAAAGUGUACAGUGCCGUAUAGUCUCCAAUUACUGCUUUAAAUACGAGGAAAACUAAAUUAUUGGAAUUCUGAUUUAAAAAAACAAACAAAAAGUAUUGUAACAUAUUGGAUUUUAGCCGGAUUAUAUGUAAGGUAGAGCAGGGGACAGUCUGGAUCUAUCAGGAAUAAAAUACUUUCAUUUAAUUUCAAUAAAUGACAUCACUGUCUCUCAGGUUUUCCAUCAUUUACCUGUAAAGUCUCCUGUUCAGUGUCAGAUGCUGUAAUUUCAUGACAAAUGACUUCUGUAUAAAUGAAAACAAUUGUAUAUUUUUUUUUUCUAUUGACUUUUUUUCUGUUCCGGUGUAAUAUAUUGUCCUUACAUCAUGUAAAACUGAAAGAUGAACCAACUUACGCGUUAUUUAUAAUGAAUGUAAAGAAAAAUAAAUUACUGUAUGAUCUGUA